GUUUCCGUAGUGUAGCGGUCAUCACGUGCGCUUCACACGCAUAAGCCCCCCGGUUCGAUCCCGGGCGGAAACA
rnacentral:tRNA from 1 species